ACGAACGCUGGCGGCGUGCUUAACCCAUGCAAGUCGAACGGAAAGGCCCUGCUUUUGUGGGGUGCUCGAGUGGCGAACGGGUGAGUAACACGUGAGUAACCUGCCCUUGACUUUGGGAUAACUUCAGGAAACUGGGGCUAAUACCGGAUAGGAGCUCCUGCUGCAUGGUGGGGGUUGGAAAGUUUCGGCGGUUGGGGAUGGACUCGGGGCUUAUCAGCUUGUUGGUGGGGUAGUGGCUUACCAAGGCUUUGACGGGUAGCCGGCCUGAGAGGGUGACCGGCCACAUUGGGACUGAGAUACGGCCCAGACUCCUACGGGAGGCAGCAGUGGGGAAUAUUGCACAAUGGGCGGAAGCCUGAUGCAGCAACGCCGCGUGCGGGAUGACGGCCUUCGGGUUGUAAACCGCUUUCGCCUGUGACGAAGCGUGAGUGACGGUAAUGGGUAAAGAAGCACCGGCUAACUACGUG
rnacentral:rRNA from 1 species